GAACAUUUCAGCAUCUGGUCAAAGCAAGAUGGUAAUUGUCAGGAUGAGGAGGAAGCAGGCACUCCUGAGGCAGCAGUGGCUGCAGGAUCCCCAGGAAUAGCAGCAGGUGAAGAUCUGGAGCCUAAUUGCAAGUAGAAGUAGCAGUUUAUGGCUGGCUUAUAGACCUCCCAAAGCUGAACAGGCAGUGGCAAAGCGAGCACAUCUUUCCCUGCUGUGAGAAACACCGCUGAGCUCUGAGUGUGCAGCAAACCUUCGUGAAACUGCUGGGAUUUAUUGAUCACUUGCAUUGUUUUGAUUGACAAAAGGGCAACUGAAAAAAUGGCAAGAAGGUCAUCUUAUUCCAGUUGGGGAUCUGGUCCUCCUCAGUAUGGGCAAUAUCUUCCAGCUUUGUAUCAUGUGCACAGUUUUUGAGGCUGGGCCUGAUCAUUAUUCCCAGUUCAUGGAAGUGUAGAUUAAAUGGUGUUGCUCCAAAGACUGAACCCUGAGGAACACUGUCGGGAAUGAUUUCCUGCAGAGCACUGUAUCAAAGGAUCUGUUUCAACUCCAACAUGCUGAGUUCACUCCAUUAUUUCCUUCUAGAGAGACAAUUAUCUUACUCAAAAUACACCAGCUCAGCCUGACAUCCU